CGUUCUAUGGCCGAAUUGGUAAAAGGCUUCGCCGAUCACAGGCGAGGUUGCGGGUUUGAGUCCCGCUGGAACGA
rfam:Operophtera brumata OBRT01_Sc05059, whole genome shotgun sequence.